rnacentral:rRNA from 1 species
AUACGGAGGGGGCUAGCGUUGUUCGGAAUUACUGGGCGUAAAGCGCGCGUAGGCGGAUUGGUUAGUUGGGGGUGAAAUCCCAGGGCUCAACCCUGGAACUGCCCUCAAUACUGCCAGUCUAGAGAUCGAGAGAGGUGAGUGGAAUUCCUAGUGUAGAGGUGAAAUUCGUAGAUAUUAGGAAGAACACCAGUGGCGAAGGCGGCUCACUGGCUCGAUACUGACGCUGAGGCGCGAAAGCGUGGGGAGCAAACAGGAUUAGAUACCCCAGUAGUCC